rnacentral:rRNA from 1 species
UGGGGAAUAUUGCACAAUGGGCGCAAGCCUGAUGCAGCCAUGCCGCGUGUAUGAAGAAGGCCUUCGGGUUGUAAAGUACUUUCAGUCGGGAGGAAGGUGGUAAGGUUAAUAACCUUAUCAAUUGACGUUACCGACAGAAGAAGCACCGGCUAACUCCGUGCCAGCAGCCGCGGUAAUACGGAGGGUGCAAGCGUUAAUCGGAAUUACUGGGCGUAAAGCGAGCGCAGGCGGUUUCUUAAGUCUGAUGUGAAAGCCCCCGGCUCAACCGGGGAGGGUCAUUGGAAACUGGGAGACUUGAGUGCAGAAGAGGAGAGUGGAAUUCCAUGUGUAGCGGUGAAAUGCGUAGAUAUAUGGAGGAACACCUGUGGCGAAGGCGGCUCUCUGGUCUGUAACUGACGCUGAGGCUCGAAAGCGAGGGGAGCAAACAGG